UACAGAGGUCUCAAGCGUUGUUCGGAUUCAUUGGGCGUAAAGGGUGCGUAGGUGGCGCCGUAAGUCGGGUGUGAAACCUCCAGGCUCAACCUGGAGACGCCACCCGAUACUGCUGUGACUAGAGUCCGGUAGGGGAGCGUGGAAUUCCUGGUGUAGCGGUGAAAUGCGCAGAUAUCAGGAGGAACACCAGCGGCGAAGGCGGCGCUCUGGGCCGGAACUGACGCUGAGGAGCGAAAGCGUGGGGAGCAAACAGG
rnacentral:rRNA from 1 species